rnacentral:rRNA from 1 species
ACGCCGCGUGAGUGAAGAAGGUUUUCGGAUCGUAAAGCUCUGUUGUAAGUCAGAACGUGUGUGAGAGUGGAAAGUUCACACAGUGACGGUAGCUUACCAGAAAGGGACGGCUAACUACGUGCCAGCAGCCGCGGUAAUACGUAGGUCCCGAGCGUUGUCCGGAUUUAUUGGGCGUAAAGGGAGCGCAGGCGGUCGGGAAAGUCUGGAGUAAAAGGCUAUGGCUCAACCAUAGUGUGCUCUGGAAACUGUCUGACUUGAGUGCAGAAGGGGAGAGUGGAAUUCCAUGUGUAGCGGUGAAAUGCGUAGAUAUAUGGAGGAACACCAGUGGCGAAAGCGGCUCUCUGGUCUGUCACUGACGCUGAGGCUCGAAAGCGUGGGUAGCGAACAGGAUUAGAUACCCUGGUAGUCCACGCCGUAAACGAUGAGUGCUAGGUGUUAGGCCCUUUCCGGGGCUUAGUGCCGGAGCUACGCAUAAGCACUCCGCCUGGGGAGUACGACCGCAAGGUGAAACUCAAAGGAAUUGACGGGG